rnacentral:lncRNA from 1 species
AUAUGGAGGUUCCCAGGCUAGGGGUCUAAUCGGAGCUGUUGCUACCAGCCUAUGCCAGAGCUACAGCAAUGCCAGGUCACCAUAUCCGAGCCACAUCUGUGACCUACACAAAGCUCAUGGCAACACUGGAUCCUUAACCCACUGAGCGAGACCAGGGAUCAAACCUGCAUCCUCAUGGUUCCUAGUUGGAUUAGUUUUCACUGCACCACAAUGGGAACUCCUUACCAAGUCAUUAAAAAAAAAAAAAAAAAAAAAAAAAUAGUUGCUUUGAAAGAAAAAGAAUGCAUUCACAUGAGCAUUGUCUCUCUGCACUCCUGUGUAUUUCCAACAAGGAGCAGGACAGGUUUCAAUAAUCCUAACUUCUGGAUAUCCAGAGAAAAGUGUUCCAAAUACAUACAAAUGCUGAAUCAACAUCUGAGGAAGGUGAUGGUGAUUUUGCUAUGGAAAUCCAGAGAGAAGUAAUCUUAACAUUGAGGAUUAAGUAAAUGGUGAGAAAAUGGAGAUCCCUUUGUACCCAGCAGUUCUUAUAACUGCUAAUUUACUACAUGAUUCUAAUUAAAUGAAGUUAGCUUCAUAAUAGCAAUGUAUGGUGCCUGUGUAGGAAAGCUGUUAACAUAAUUAUAUCUCUAACACAGGGGGCAAAUCAGAUUAUAAUUAUUAGAAAGCCAUGGAUACAGGCUACUGUGAGUAUUAUAGCAUUAGGAAGUGGAUUUACAAUCCUAAAUUUCCCAUGUACAAUGCAUGUUUUAUUUUUAAGUUUCUCUUCAUUAGAUGGCAUCUGAUAGACAUAUUUGAAAACUACGUAUCCUCUAAGUGAUCAGUUUUCAAAUUCAGAAGAGAGAGAGUUUGUGUGUAUGUUGAAGUAUUUAUGUAUGUAAAAUAUAUUUUGGUGUGCAAUUUCCUGCCGUGUCAGAGUAUUACCUCUUUUGAAAAAUAUGUGGUAUAACAAUUAUAUAUCAAACCAUAAAUAAAAAUUGAUCUAUAAGGAUGAAGUUACCUUAAUAUGCAAUAUUUGAUCCCACAUCUUACAUACUUUCUACCUCUUAUCUCUUACCAUAGCAACAUAUUAUUAAAUAUUAGUCAAAUAAUCCAGACUGAAAAAGGACAGAUUCUCAAAGGUGAAGGUAUUUUCAAAACCAGUUGCCUUAUUGAAUAUUAGUGGCAUUCAGUAAUGCCCUAACUCCGUUUCACAGAAAAAAAAAGUUGUCAUUAACAAACCAACCUGUUUUUAAAAAUCUUGUUUAUUUUUUUAAAUUAUUAGUUUUAGGAGGAAGUGUUCAGCUAAUAAUACAAACAGAAAUAUGUAAAAUUUAAAUAUAAUUUAAAUAAAGGUAAAAUUUCCAGAAUGAAAAUGAACAGAUAAUUAGCUAUUGUAUUCAAAAACCAACAAAAUGAAAAAAAUUGCUAUUUCAAAACAUGUAAGAUAGUUCUAUAAAAUAUAACAAAUGUUUUCAAUAUUGUUACUAUUGAAUUCUGAUUAAUCUGGAUUUUGAAAAUUCUAAAGUGUUAAAAUGCUUUCCCAGAAUAUCAGAGAAUAUCUUUAGAGUAAUUGAUUAAGCAGAUUAUUAAGGAUAAAGGCAACUGAAAUGGUUCCUAUUUUCUGGAAUGAGUUAUAAAAGAAACUGGCAAGUUACUGAUGGGAGACAAACUAACAUUUGUAUAUUCCCUUCUAUACUUCAUGGACUUUAUAAAUAUAUUUUCUCAUUUAAAUUUCAAAGUAGCUGUGUAAGGCAAGCAGUUAUUGUAUUGCUUUUAUUUAUAAGGAGGCUAAGAUUCAAAAUGUUCAAUUACUCAUUUGAGGUCAUCUACCUGACUUCUGACCACAUGUAAUUAUUUGUGUAUUAUGGACUGACUGUGCAGCCAUGCCAAUUGAGACCUCAGAAUUUAGUUUUACAGUAUAAUAGUGAUGUAACUUUUUGAAUUUAUUUUUGUUUCAACAAUGUUUAUGAAAAUAAAAGAACAGAAAAUAAUGCUAUGAAUACCCAUAUAUCACCCAGAAUAUCUGUUAAUAUUCUCAUUCUUUGUUUUCUGCAUACAUAUGUAAAGUAUAAAUUACAGAUACCUUUGUGCUUUCCUUCUGAGAUCCAUUUUCUUCAUUAUCCCUUAAUGUAAUCAUGUUUAUGAAUUUAAACCAUAAAUGUUUUAAUAUCUGAAAUAUAUCUAAAACCAUAUACAAUAUAUAUUUAUUUUGUAUAAAUUACUUCAUAAUGAACCUGUCCAACUCUCCUCAGUUAAUAUUAAUUUUUCCAUAAAUAUGUGUUAAAAAAUACAGAUUGUAUUCACCAAUAAUGGGUAUGGAUAAAUUAGCACAGUUGAAUAAGAUACAGCAGUUUAAAUAAAUGAAAUAAAUUUCUAGUCAGAUGGAAUAUAUUCCAUUCUUAAGCGAAAUUUGUUUUAUUUUAAAUGAUGAAAAUAAGUGACAUAUGCUAUUGUUGUGAGUGAAUUGAUUAGAGGAGCAUAAGUUAAUUAAGGAAAGCAAGGUAUAAUUCUUGGCUUUAAAUUUUGAGAGAAUUUUGCAAAGGAGAAACAAAUUGAUAACAUGCUCACCAGCGAAAAUUUGUCGCUUCAGUGUGUGUCUUUUGCUUAUAUUUUAAUUUCUGAUAAUAAUCUCUUCAUAUAUUUUUCUCAUCAUUUUUAUGCUGUCUCUAGGCUUAUGUAACUUACUUUUGUUCACAUAUCCAUAUCCACUGAGUUUUAUAUUUAAAUGUGUAUCAGUUAUGAUGAUGCAGCUUGUAAAUAACAGAAAACCGAAAUAAAGCACCUCAUAUAAUAAAAAGUCCAGAGGUGGUAUUAGCUCCAGGAUAGGUUUAUUAUGCAGUCAAGUUCAUAUCUUCAAUAUCAAAUUACUUUCCAUUUCUUUGCCAUUUCCAGUGCUUCUAUAUAAUUGUUAUAGCCUAUAUGAAAUUAUUCAUAUGUAUAUUAAUAUAUAAUAUAUAUUGGUAUAUUAUAAUGUUAUAGGUAGAAUAUCCACAUAUGAUUCAGUUGAAGAAGGUAAACAUUUUUUUCUUAAUAAGGUCAUGAUUUUCUUUUAGUCAUGUCUCAUUUAGCUAAAUUGUAGUAUAUUCCUAUUCCAGAACUAAAUCAUUAGCUAUGUAGUAAGGUUUUUCCUUGUAUCCAGUCGGACCUAUCCUUGAAAGUUGUGCUUGAACGACUAUCCUCUGAGGCAUUAAACUAGGUAGAAUAGUGAAUAUUUGAAAAAAUAAAAUAGUAUUUCUAUUUGAAAGAAAAAUAGGGAAAUGACUGAUUAAAAAAACAAACAUUGUCAUGAUAAAGUCACUGUUUUCAAUUUUAGGACUGUUAUUUGACUCUUACCAAUUACUUUUGCAUAUAGUCCUAUAUUUAUCAUUUUAACUUUUUCACUUCAAUUUUCAGAUACACUUAAUUUAUGUUUUUUCACUUUUUGUUGUUUUUUUAGGUCACUUAAUUUGAUUACAUUUAUGGUUGUCCAAUGGUCAUCACAACUAAUUUUUUAGUAGCAUUUCCAUUCCAACCCCCCAGCACACCCCCCCCUACACUGUAUUCUUUGGUAACCAAAAGUUUUUGAAAGUCUGUGAGUCAGUUUCUAUUCUGCAAAGAAUUACAUUGUAUCCUUUUUUUAAAUUCCACAUAUAAGUGAUAGCAUUUGACUUUGGAGCCUCACUAUCUGACUAACUUCACUUAACAUGAUAAUUUCUAGGUCCAUCCGUGUUGCUGCAAAUGCCGUUUUUCCUUUCCUUAUAAUGGAUAAGUAAUAUUCUGUUGUUUACAUGUACCACUUUAUCCACUCCUCUGUCAGUGGAAAUUUAGGUUGGUUUUAUGUCUUGGCUACUGUAUAUAGUGCUGCAAUGAACAUCAGAGUACAUGCACCCUUUCAAGUCAUGAUUUUCUCUGGAAAGAUGCCCAGGAAUGGGAUCUGUGGAUCAAAUGGUAAUACUAUUUUAAAUUUUUUGAGGAAUCUCCAUAACAUUUUCCACAGUGGUUGCACCAACUUACACUCCCACCAACAGUUAAUAGGGUUCCCUUUUUUCUGUACCCUCUCAAGCAUUUAUUAUUUGUAGACCUUUUGAUGAUGGCCAUUCUGGCUGGUGUAAGGUGGUACCUCAGAGUGGUUUUGAUUUGUAUUUCUCUAAUAACGAGUGAUGUUGAACAUCUUUUCAUGUGUUUUUUGGACAUCUCUUUAUAUUCUUUGGAGAACUGUCUGUUUAGAUCUUCUGCCCAUUUUUGGAUGGUGUUGUUUUUUUGGUAUGGAGUUGCAGAAGGUGUUUAUAAAUUUUGAAGAUUAAUCCCUUGUCAGUCACUUCAUUUGCAAAUAUUUUCUUCCAUUCCAUGUGUUGUCUUUUCAUUUUGUUGAGGGUUUCCUUUGCUGGGGAGAAACUUUUAAGUUUCAUUAGGUCCCAUUUAUUUUUGUUUUUAUUGUCAUUACUCUAGGAGGUGGAUCUGAGAAGAUAUUGCUGUGGUUUCAUGUUUGGGCUAUGUUUUCCUCUAAGAGUUUUAUAGUAUCUGGUCUUAUAUCUAGGUCUUUAAUCCAUUUGGAGUUUAUUUUUGUGUACAGUGUUAGGGAGUGUUCUAAUUUAUUCUUUUAUGUGUGGCUGUCCAGUUUUACCAGCACCACUUAUUCAAGGGACAGUUUUUUCUCCAUUGUAUAUUCUUGCUUCCUUUUUUCAUAGAUUAGUUGACUCUAGGUGUGUGGAUUUAAUUCUGGGCUUUCUGUUCUGUUCCACUGAUCUGUAUUUCUG